rnacentral:lncRNA from 1 species
GGCCCCUCCGCACAGAGCCGGCCCGCCCCGCGGGACCCACGGCGGCGGCGGCGGCCCCGCUGCGCCCAGCGUCGCGCACGGCCGCGUCGGAGCACGGCACAGCACAGCACAGCACGUACCUGCUGCUGCUGCUGCCCGCCGCACCGCGUAGCUCCGCUCCGGCGGGGGCUCGGCGCGCGCCUCGCGCGUGAGCGGCACCGCGAGGGGAGAGCGGAGGGGAACGCCGCGCGCGCGCUCAGCCGCCCUUCCUCCCGGGUCGCCUUGGAAACGGCGCGCGGCGCGAAGAGGGGGAGGAGGAGGAGGAGGUUUAAAGGGGGCGCGCGCGCGUGUGCUCGCCCCGCGUCACGUGGGCGCCGCCGAACCAAUGGGCGACGGCGGACGGCGGGCGCCGUAGUACUACGGCCCGGGGAAGGCGAGGCGCGAGAGCGCGGGGCGGGGCGGCGGCGGCGUCCUCCCCUCAGGGGCGGCGGCCCCGCCCCCUCCGCUGGGUCCCCGCAGGGCGGGAGGCGCCGCGCGGUCGCUGUCCGCGGGCAGACAGCGGCAUUACAUAACCGCGUACGGAGAGCGGCCGCGGUUACGCGAUGCAGAUGAGCGGCGGCGUCGAUUCGGCAGAUCGCCCUGCGCGCGUGUGAGGGGCAGCGCGGCCGUGCGGUGCCGUUUUAGAAGAAUAGCUUCUGCCCAAGAAUUAGAAUUGUUGGAAUAAUAUGCGAACAGAUCAUGAAGAACUCUGUGGCACCAGUUAUGGAUCUUUUUGUCUAAAUGGAGGCAUUUGCUAUAUGAUUCCUACUAUACCCAGUCCAUUCUGCAGGUGUAUUGAGAAUUACACAGGAGCACGCUGUGAAGAAGUUUUGCUGCCCAGCAUCAAGUCUCAAACAAAAGGUGACCUGUUUGCAGUUCUCUUGGCUUCACUUCUCCUUCUCGGAGUUCUUUUAAUUGGAACAUUCUACUUCCUUUGCAGGAAAGCCACCAUUGCAAGGACAGGUUCGUCAGAGUGUGGUGCCCACCUGGUUGAGACUACAAGCAGCAAUGGCUGCAACAAAAUAAUAACGGAGUAAAG